rnacentral:rRNA from 1 species
AUGAACGCUGGCGGCGUGCCUAAUACAUGCAAGUCGAGCGAACGGACGAGAAGCUUGCUUCUCUGAUGUUAGCGGCGGACGGGUGAGUAACACGUGGAUAACCUACCUAUAAGACUGGGAUAACUUCGGGAAACCGGAGCUAAUACCGGAUAAUAUUUUGAACCGCAUGGUUCAAAAGUGAAAGACGGUCUUGCUGUCACUUAUAGAUGGAUCCGCGCUGCAUUAGAUAGUUGGUAAGGUAACGGCUUACCAAGGCAACGAUGCAUAGCCGACCUGAGAGGGUGAUCGGCCACACUGGAACGGAGACACGUUCCAGACUCCUACGGGGAGCAGCGGUAGGGAAUCUUCCGCAAUGGACGAAAGCCUGACGUAGCAACGCCGCGUGAGUGAUGAAGGUCUUCGGAUCGUAAAACUCUGUUAUUAGGGGAGAACAUAUGUGUAAGUAACUGUGCACAUCUUGACGGUACCUAAUCAGAAAGCCACGGCUAACUACGUG